rnacentral:tRNA from 1 species
GGGAGUGUAGCUCAGUGGUAGAGUGCAUGUUUAGCAAGUAUAAGGUCCUGAGUUCAAUUCCCAGCACUAACA